UCUUCGUUUCGUGUUGAAUAUGGAAUUGGAUUAGAUAACACUUAAUAACAAGUGGUCCAAUCAAUUAGCAUCUUGAACAGAUCCCGGGAAGUCUAGCGAGCAGAACAUUGAAAAAAUAAAACUCAACUUUAUCAAACAGAUAGCUGAAAAGUCCCCGCCCAUUUUCCGGUGGCUCCAGUCGGUUUUCCGUCACACGGACCAUUUCGUACCUGGAAAUUAAAGGGAAGCUUUUAGAAAUACGCCCCCUUUAAGCGGCCCUGACAAACCCUUUGGGUUGCCAUGCCAACGAGGCUAGAAUGGUGAUGUGCCAGUUGCAGAUGACUCGCAGGUGUCGUCCGUUGAGGGAAUUCAAAGUCGGCGAUGCUGGAAAGGCACAACUCGAAACGGCCAACCAAACGAACAAAGGACAUGUCGUAUGCUGGAGAUAACGGACCACUAAACUGGGUUUAUCAAUAGUCGAAUGAGGAUCCGAAUCGAGGAGAUUCAGAAAGCGUCAACGACAAUAAGGUUAGCAAACUCUGCAUUUCUAACUAGAAUGAUAUUGUACUAUUUAUUUAAUUAAGUUCAAGCGGCUAGAUUG
rnacentral:lncRNA from 1 species